GUGAAUCAUCAAAUUUUUGAACGCAAAUUGCGCUUCCUAGCAUCCCGGGAAGUAUGCCUGUUUGAGGGUCAGUAAUUACAAAAAAAUCGGUUUGGCUGCAAAUUGUGACGCUUCCGGAGCUUGGGAUAUCCUAACUUUUUUGGUUAAAGGGCUUAAAAUUGACCUUUUUUGCGCAUUUUUAGACGUAAAUAAAUUUUUUUUUAUUCGUCUAUUCUUAAUGCCUAAAUCUUACUAGAUGAGAUCACAUCGUGUGGUUUCGUGUC
rnacentral:misc_RNA from 1 species